CUUUCCCUACACGACGCUCUUCCGAUCUGUUUCCCAGUCACGAUAUGGGUGUUGAAAAAAAGAAGACAUGAGUAAGGCGGGACACGUGUAAUCCUGUCUGAACAUGGGGGGACCACCCUCCAAGCCUAAGUACUCCUCAGCGACCGAUAGCGAACUAGUACCGUGAGGGAAAGGUGAAAAGAACCCCGACGAGGGGAGUGAAAUAGACCUGAAACCGAAUGCUUACAAACAGUAGGAGCCCAAGAUUCGUUCUGGGUGACUGCGUACCUUUUGUAUAAUGGGUCAGCGACUUAGUCUGGCGAGCAAGCUUAAACCGUUAGGUGUAGGCGCAGCGAAAGCGAGUCUGAACAGGGCGUUCAGUUCGUCGGAUUAGACCCGAAACCGAGUGAUCUAGCCAUGAGCAGGUUGAAAGUGCGGUAACACGCACUGGAGGACCGAACCGGUGCCUGUUGAAAAAGUCUCGGAUGACUUGUGGUUAGGGGUGAAAGGCCAAUCAAACUCGGAAAUAGCUGGUUCUCCGCGAAAGCUAUUUAGGUAGCGCCUCGCGUGAAUACUCCAGGGGGUAGAGCACUGAAUGGGCUAGGGGGUCUCACCGAUCUACCAAUCCCAAUCAAACUCCGAAUACCUGGAAGUACUGCGCGGGAGACACACGGCGGGUGCUAACGUCCGUCGUGGAGAGGGAAACAACCCUGACCAACAGCUAAGGUCCCCAAGUCAUGGCUAAGUGGGAAAGGAUGUAGGGAUCCCAAAACAACCAGGAGGUUGGCUUAGAAGCAGCCAUCCUUUAAAGAAAGCGUAACAGCUCACUGGUCUAAAUAAGGGUCCCCGCGCCGAAGAUGUAACGGGGCUAAAGCCAUACACCGAAGCUUUGGGUUUGCCGUAAGGCAAGCGGUAGCGGAGCGUUCUGUAAGUCUGCGAAGAGGUAGCCGUGAGGCGCCUUGGAGAUAUCAGAAGUGCGAAUGCUGACAUGAGUAACGACAAACAGUGUGAAAGACACUGUCGCCGAAAGUCCAAGGGUUCCUGCGUAAAGUUAAUCUUCGCAGGGUUAGCCGGCCCCUAAGUCGAGGCUGAAAAGCGUAGUCGAUGGGAACCACGUUAAUAAUCGUGGGCCAGCGGGUAGUGACGGAUCUCGAAAGUUGUUUGGCCUUAUUGGAUUGGCUCAGGCAACCUGGAGGUUCCAGGAAAUAGCUCCCGCAUUAGACCGUACCCGAAACCGACACAGGUGGACUGGUAGAGUAUACCAAGGCGCUUGAGAGAACUAUGCUGAAGGAACUCGGCAAAUUGCCCCCGUAACUUCGGGAUAAGGAGGCCUUCCGCUUGGGCAACCAGGCGGGAGGGGCACAGACCAGGGGGUGGCAACUGUUUAACAAAAACACAGGGCUCUGCGAAAUCGCAAGAUGACGUAUAGGGUCUGACGCCUGCCCGGUGCCGGAAGGUUAAGAGGAGGUGUGCAAGCAUCGAAUUGAAGCCCCGGUAAACGGCGGCCGUAACGAUAACGGUCCUAAGGUAGCGAAAUUCCUUGUCGGGUAAGUUCCGACCUGCACGAAUGGCGUAACGAUGGCCACACUGUCUCCUCCUGAGACUCAGCGAACUUGAAGUGUUUGUGACGAUGCAAUCUCCCCGCAGCUAGACGGAAAGACCCCAUGAACCUUUACUGUAGCUUUGCAUUGGACUUUGAACCGGUUU
rnacentral:rRNA from 1 species